GGGAAGAUAAAAAAUUAAGCAACUUUGCCCUCAUAAUCUUUGGUUUUAGCCGGGGUUAUCUGGCACACUGAGCUAGAGUCUGUCUCUAUCUCUUCUUUAAAUCUUUAUGUCCCAUACAAGUCACUAACCAGUUUUCUGUCUCUCUGAGUGUCUCUGAGUCUCUUAGCUGCCACUGGACUAAUGCUGCAGACGGUCUGCUGCGAAACUGCCUGACCCCAGCUGCAUUAUCCCUGAUUGUCCACCCUGGGCCCUGAGCUCCCCCAUCUCUUUGGCUCCUCUGGACCGUUGCUGCAGACACCCCCUGCAACCUUGGUUGCUCCUGCUGCAGACCUGCCUGACUCUAGCUGCAUCAUCUACGUUUGUCCGCCUCAGGCCCUGCUCCUUCUUCUCUUGGAUUCCUCGGGACUGUUACUGCAGACAUGAACAUCAGCCUCACUGACAUUAAUAACAUAAACUAGAGCUGACUACGAUUAGGACUGCUGACUGUAAUCACACUCAAUUAAUUUAACACUGUCCAUAAUCACUCAUAUCCUAACCCUGUAAACUGAACUCUUUUUUGUUUCACCAUUACAUGAGCUGUUGUUGUUGUUGCUGUUGUUUCUGCUGCCCCCUGUCUCUCUCUCACCCUUGUUCUCUACUCUCUCUCCCUCCCUCUCCUUACUCAUUCUCUCUCGCCUUCCCUUAUCUUGUUCUCUCUCUCUCUCCCCCUGUCCUCUCUCCUCUACCCUCUUCUCUCCACAUUCUUCCCCAACCCAGCAGCGGCAUGGUAGCUGUCUAACAUGAGGCUGGUCCUGCCCAAGGUUUCUGCCUGUUAAAAGGAAGUUUUUCCUUGCCACUGCUACUCAUGUUAGUUGAGAUGGGCCAAAACCCAUCUUAGGUUGGUUCCUGAUCAUCAAACAAUGAGCGUGGUCUAGACCUGCUCUUGUUCCUUGAAAAGUGUCUUGAGAUGACGACUGUUGUGAAUUGGCGCUAUAUAAAUAAAAUUUGAUUUGAUUUUUAUCAGAGCUAUUUCUGAGUUACAUGAAUGAUCCUGAUCCUGUGUCUUCUGCCACUCAGCAAAAACAUAAAAAUAAAUAAAGAAAGA